CCGUAGCUCAAUUGGAUAGAGCGUCAGAUUUCGGAUCUGAAAGUUGUGGGUUCGAGUCCUACCGG
rnacentral:tRNA from 1 species